rnacentral:rRNA from 1 species
CGAUUAGCCUGUUGGUGAGGUAACGGCUCACCAAAGCAACGAUCAGUAGCUGGUCUGAGAGGACGACCAGCCACACUGGGACUGAGACACGGCCCAGACUCCUACGGGAGGCAGCAG